rnacentral:lncRNA from 1 species
CCCCCCCUCGCCCCAACCCAAACACCCUCAGCCCCUUGCUCCUCGGCCGCGCCAGGAAUGCGGACUAAUUAGGGUCCAAUGUCUCCUUAAAGAGACAAGCUCGGCCUUGUGUAACGCGCCGAAACCCCUGUUGAGACAAGAGAGGGAGGAUCGCGCCGAUCCCACUUCGUUCGGUUCACAUCAAUUUUACGCGCCGCUGGAGCCGGCAUAAUUUUCCGUGUGAACGCAGACUCGGGCCCCUGUUCUUGCCUAGAGCAGGAGGCUGAGCCGCGAGACGCUCCCCCGGGCGGGAGGGCGCCCCUCCGCCCCCGAGGGGGCUGUGGCUGCCGUUCAGCCCGGACGUGGGGCCGGUUUCCCCGAGCAGCUCUGCGGGGACGCCCCCGAGUCGCUCGGCUCGCGGGCCCCGGGGGCGGAACCGCCGAGUCUCGAGGUGGGGCUGGAGGCCCGGGGCCAGGGUCGCCCCCUUCCCGAAGAAACUUUGCGGACCGGGAGCCCGCACCGCGCGCGCCCUAGGGCAGCGUCCACGAGGUACCAGUCGCAGGCACGGGACAGGAAACGCCCAGCAGCCCGGGGAUGCUCCUUCUCCCCGGGCCAGAGGGAGAAGACUGCCCCCUCUUUUUCCUGUUCUUUCAAGUCAAGUCUGAACCGGGCCGGGCCUCGCGGAUCACGAGAGAGGGCGGGUCGGCGACAGUGGGGAUAAGCCCCGCAAGAGCGGGGGGAUGCGGGGGCACAGGCAGGUGGAGGGCAUUUUUGGGAAAGGGGCUAAAGAGGCGAGGACCGACUCGGUGGCCAGAGGGGACGGCCCGAGGCCGACGGCGUCUUCAUCCUCAGUCCUCCUCCAGCGAGCCAGGGGUUGGAGAACUCUGUGUGGACAGUUUUCUGAUCCUCCUCGGUCCCAUGUGCCCAGUCCAAAAUGAGACGUGCGAUCUACAUGACAAAGAGAAAGAUCUCCGAAAGAUGCAGAAGGAAGCAACCCCUCUCCCAGAACAACACAGAAAGUGGGUGGGGCAUAUAGCUGCUUUUGUCUCUUCUGAUCUCUGCUAGCGCUUCUCUCUCUCUUUUUAAGUUUAUUUAAUUGUUUGUUUGUUUGUUUGUUUUUGUGAUUUCUACACCCAGCUUGGGGCCUGAACUCACCACCCAGAGGUCAAGAGUCACAUGUUCUCCCAGCUGAGCCAGCCGCGCACCCCUGUGCUUCUCUGUUUGCACUUUUCACAAAUUGCUAAGCCAAGCUGUGAAGUCAACCUUGGGACUUGUCUUAUCCCUACCACACAGUGGGGAGUUCCAGAAUUUUUAUGUGAGUGGGGCUCAGCAACAGCAGUCCUAGUGGAAGCUAGGCCUGGGGUUUCAAUCUUAAUGUGAUAUAUGCAAAGCAAGCACAUUAUUUUUUCUUAUAUGUUAUAAAUUAUGUAUUCUUCCACCAGGUAUUUAUUGAAAAAAAAUGUUUUGACCUAACAUGUGCCAAGAUAAGGGAAUUUAGCAAUAAAUUACUGUUUUUGAUUUAUUAUCUCUGAGCU